rnacentral:rRNA from 1 species
CCUACGGGAGGCAGCAGUGAGGAAUAUUGGUCAAUGGGCGAGAGCCUGAACCAGCCAAGUCGCGUGAAGGAUGAAGGAUCUAUGGUUUGUAAACUUCUUUUAUAUGGGAAUAAAGUGAGGAACGUGUUCCUUUUUGUAUGUACCAUAUGAAUAAGCAUCGGCUAACUCCGUGCCAGCAGCCGCGGUAAUACGGAGGAUGCGAGCGUUAUCCGGAUUUAUUGGGUUUAAAGGGUGCGUAGGCGGUCCGUUAAGUCAGCGGUAAAAUUGCGGGGCUCAACCCCGUCGAGCCGUUGAAACUGGCAGACUUGAGUUGGCGAGAAGUACGCGGAAUGCGCGGUGUAGCGGUGAAAUGCAUAGAUAUCGCGCAGAACUCCGAUUGCGAAGGCAGCGUACCGGCGCCAGACUGACGCUGAGGCACGAAAGCGUGGGGAUCGAACAGGAUUAGAUACCCUUGUAGUC